rnacentral:rRNA from 1 species
UACGUAGGGGGCAAGCGUUGUCCGGAAUUACUGGGCGUAAAGCGCACGUAGGCGGCUUUGUAAGUUAGAGGUGAAAGCCCAGGGCUCAACCCUGGAAUUGCCUUUAAGACUGCAUCGCUUGAAUCAUGGAGAGGUGAGUGGAAUUCCGAGUGUAGAGGUGAAAUUCGUAGAUAUUCGGAAGAACACCAGUGGCGAAGGCGACUCACUGGACAUGUAUUGACGCUGAGGUGCGAAAGCGUGGGGAGCAAACAGG